CCAUCUUGAUUUUAUACUUUUUAUCGUGUUCUCUAAUAUGUUCAACUAGAUUUCCUCUAAUGCAUCCUUCUUCUUCAGGAAUAUAAUUUACCUGGCUGUCCUGUCCUCUUGGAAGCUGCUCCACACAAGAGCUUCUUUGUACGGAGAAGGCCCUUCAACAGCCUGGAACGCUAGGCAGCUCAUUACUACCCUCUCGUGGUCAGAACAGGUCAGCACCGGAUCUAGCUAAACAGCUUGCUCAGGACAUCCUGAAAGCCAAGGUCAACCCCAACAGGCUGACUUCUGGCCUACCCACCGCAGUCAGUGUGCUGCACACCAGCAUCAGUGGUUCAGCAUCCCACUCCCAAACAGGCCAUGACCCAGGCUUAGCCAGGCUGAGCCUAAUGAUUGCAAAUCUGGCCAAUGCUGUCUACUCCAAGCCAGAGGCUCCCAGAAGAUGCCCUUUUCCAACUGCCAAAGCAGAAUGAUGGAGAGCUCUCCGGUCCGCCAGAGAGCACUGAUGGUCAGGACUGGGCCUGGAGAUGGCAUAGAGCAGG
rnacentral:lncRNA from 1 species